rnacentral:tRNA from 1 species
UUAGGAAAUAGUAUAAUUGGGAGUACUAAGAGUUUUGAUCUCUAAGGAGUAGGUUCGAGUCCUAUUUUUCUA